GCACGGAUGCCCGAGUGGUCCGAGGGUGUAGAUUCAAAUUCUACUACGCAUUGCAUGCGCGGGUUCGGAUGCCGCUCCGUGUA
rnacentral:tRNA from 1 species